CAGUAGCCGCGGUAAUACAGAGGGUGCAAGCGUUAAUCGGAUUUACUGGGCGUAAAGGGCGCGUAGGUGGUUAUUUAAGUGAGAUGUGAAAGCCCCGGGCUUAACCUGGGAACUGCAUCUUAUACUGGGUAACUGGAGUGCAGUAGAGGGUAGUGGAAUUUCCGGUGUAGCGGUGAAAUGCGUAGACAUCGGAAGGAACACCAGUGGCGAAGGCGGCUACCUGGACUGAGACUGACACUGAGGCGCGAGAGCGUGGGGAGCAAACAGGAUUAGAUACCCCUGUAGUCCCUGUCUCUUAUAC
rnacentral:rRNA from 1 species